rnacentral:rRNA from 1 species
GGUUAAGCUACUAAGAGUGUACGGUGGAUGCCUUGGCGUCCAAAGCCGUUGAAGGACGUGGCUAAGCUGCGAUAAGCUCCGGGUAGCCGCUAGCAGGCAAUGAUCCGGAGAUUUCCGAGACCGGGAAACCGGCCGAGAGUCAUGUCUCGGCGCCGCGCAAGCGGUGGGAACGCAGGGAACUGAAACAUCUAAGUACCUGCAGGAAAGUAAAGCAAACGCGACUCCCCCAGUAGCGGCGAGCGAACGGGGAUCAGCCCAAACCGAGUCAGUGUCAAGCUUACGGGCGUUGCUGAUUCGGGGUUGUGGGAGCUACAGGUCAACCGUAAUAGACCAACGAAGUUACAAAGCGUGUCGUUAGGCGAAUGGCAUGGGAAGGCCAGCCGCAGAGGGUGAAAGCCCCUUAGCCAAAAACGAACCGCCUUCGGUAGAAUUCCCAAGUAUCACCAGACACGUGGAACCUGGUGUGAAUCCGGGGGGACCACCCUCCAAGGCUAAGUACUCAUGGACGACCGAUAGUGCAAUAGUAGCGCGAGCGAAAGGUGAAAAGUACCCCGACAAGGGGAGUGAAAUAGUACCUGAAACCGUACACUUACGAGCUGUCGAAGGCCUAUGACCCUUCGGGGUAAUGGCUGACGGCGUGCCUUUUGCAUAAUGAUCCGGCGAGUUACUUUAUCUGGCGAGGUUAAGGGUCUCAGGCCCGUAGCCGAAGGGAAACCGAGUGUGAAUAGCGCGACAUCCAGUCAGAUGGAGUAGACCCGAAGCCAAGCGAUCUAACCAUGGGCAGGUUGAAGCGGAUGUAACAGUCCGUGGAGGACCGAACAGGUGUGGGUUGAAAACCGCUCUGAGGACCUGUGGUUAGGGGUGAAAGGCUAAUCAAGCUUGAAAAUAGCUGGUUCUCCCCGAAAUAGCUUUUGGGCUAGUCUUUGGUAAUAGUCUGCGGGGGUAGAGCUACUGAAUGGGAUAGGGGUCCUCCGGGAUACCCUACCUAAUCAAACUCCGAAUACCGCGGACCGUAUCCAGGGAAUCAGUCUACGAGCGAUAAGGUUCGUGGACGAGAGGGAAACAACCCAGACCGCCAGCUAAGGUCCCCAAUGCGUGCUAAGUGCAGUGAAGGAAGUGGAAUCUCUAAGACAGUCAGGAUGUUGGCUUAGAAGCAGCCAUCAUUUAAAGAGUGCGUAAUAGCUCACUGAUCGAGAGGUUCUGCGCCGAAAAUGAACGGGGCUCAAGUGCGCAACCGAAGCUGCGGAUUUCGUAGACCUGUUGGGUCUACGGAGUGGUAGGGGAGCGUUCCGGACGAGUGAAGGGUGACGGUAACGACGCCUGGACGUCCUGGAAGUGAUUAUGCCGGAACAAGUAGCGACAAAGCAGGUGAGAAUCCUGCUCGCCGCAAACCCAAGGAUUCCUGGGCACGGUAAAUCCGCCCAGGGUUAGUCGGACCCUAAGGCGAGGCCGAAAGGCGUAGUCGAUGGAUGGCAGGUUAAUAUUCCUGCACCGGCUUGAGACGUUAUCACCGAUGGAGGGACGCGGGGAGAAAGGUCACAGCACUGACAGAUGUGCGAUGUGAUUGGACCGACCGCCAAGAAAAUCUCCUAGGGAGUCAAAAAGCCGUCCGUACCUAAACUGACACAGGUGGGUGAGGUGAAUAUCCUAAGGCGCUCGAGAGAACUGUUGUCAAGGAACUCGGCAAAUUAACCCCGUAACUUCGGGAUAAGGGGAGCCCUCUGAGGUGUCAAAGCCCCGGAGGGCCGCAGAGAAUUGGCCCAACCGACUGUUUACUAAAAACACAGGUCUGUGCAAAGUCAUAAAGACGAUGUAUACGGACUGACGCGUGCCCAAUGCUGGAAGGUUAAGAGGAGGGGUUAGCGAAAGCGAAGCUCUGAAUUGAAGCCCCAGUGAAUGGCGGCCGUAACUAUGACGGUCCUAAGGUAGCGAAGUUCCUUGUCGGGUAAGUUCCGACCCGCAUGAAUCGCGUAACGAGUUGGGCUCUGUCUCGACAGCAGACUCGGCGAACCUGUAGCCGUGGUGAAGAUGCCACGUUCCCGCGCCUAGACGGAAAGACCCCGUGAACCUUUACUAUAGCCUGGUAUUGAGGCUUGUCCUGACGUGCGUAGCAUAGGUGGGAGACGUUGAGCUCGGGCUCUUGGGUCCGAGGGAGUCAUCAGUGAAAUACCACUCUCGUCAUGAUAGGUUCCUAACCCGACACCGUGAAUCCGGGUCGGGGACAGUUCCAGGUGGGUAGUUUGGCUGGGGCGGUCUCCUCCAAAAAAGUAACGGAGGAGCACGAUGGUGCACUCAGUGUGGUCGGCAAUCACACGACGAGCGUAAGGGUAGAAGUGCGCCUGACUGCAAGAGAGAUAGCUCGAGCAGGUACGAAAGUAGGUCCUAGUGAUCCGGCGGAUUCCGAGUGGAAGGGCCGUCGCUCAUCAGAUAAAAGGUACUCCGGGGAUAACAGGCUGAUCACCCCCAAGAGUUCAUAUCGACGGGGUGGUUUGGCACCUCGAUGUCGGCUCAUCGCAUCCUGGGGCUGAAGGAGGUCCCAAGGGUUUGGCUGUUCGCCAAUUAAAGCGGUACGCGAGCUGGGUUUAGACCGUCGUGAGACAGGUCGGUCCCUAUCUGGCGUGGGUGUAGGAUGAUUGAGGAGGUUUUCCCCUAGUACGAGAGGAUUGGGGAGGACGGUCCUCUGGUGCUCCAGUUGUCACGCUAGUGGCACAGCUGGGUAGCUAUGACCGGAACGGAUAAGCGCUGAAUGCAUCUAAGCGCGAAGCCUUCUCCUAGACGAGUCAUCCCAACCAGUCCCCUGGAAGACUACCAGGUUGAUAGGCCGGCGGUGCAAGCAUGGUAACAUGCUCAGCUUACCGGUACUAAUCGGACGAUCGGCUUAGCCAU